GAAGACAAAACCCAGACCGACUUCGGUCUCGAGUUGCUCUGCAGCGACGGAGCUCAGCUCCCUCCUCCGUCGUCCGGCCGCCUCCCGGUGCAAGGCUGGUAUCCACAGGUCCGUCUCGUUGUCCCCGUCCUCAAGAUGAUCUUCGUUUUCGAUGGGAAGCUCCGGUGAGAGAGAAAAGGAGGAGAAGAAUUUCUAGGUUUCCGAUCGAGUUCGUGACUCCGGCCACGGCGGCGAGCGUGACCGGUAUUGGUAGCUUCGACUCGUCCUCCCCAUCCUCCCUGCGGUCUCUAUUUCGUCAAAGGAGCGUCGAUGAGAGAGAAUUGAGCAGAGGAAUGUUUUAGGUUUUAGGCCGUGUUCUUGAUGUUUUCCGGCCACCGGCGAAGGCAAGCGAGGUAUCAAUCUUCAUCUAAUCGUCGAGCUUUACAUGUUUCUAUAAUUGAAAUUGAGUUUGGAUUAAGUUUGGAAGAAUUUGGGUAUUGGGGCAGUGUUGUGGUGGCUGUUGUUCAUAACGGCAGUGGUGGAGGAGUUGUCCAAUUGCUUGUUAUCUUGUGAAGUUUAUAUUGAUGCUCUCUAAAUAGGUUGGCUUUGUUAAGCUUGAUUUUAUAUUGUCGAGAGUUGGAUUAUCAUAACGAAGAACUGGUGUUGCUCGAGAGUUAGGAAGAAUAAUUGCUGCUAUUUUGGCUAUUAUUAAUAGAUGUUGUUUUGGCUAUUAUUGAGGUGUGCCUUACGAAAUGAAUGGAAUUAGGAGCUUUGUUUUUCAAGAUAGAGGAGCUGAGUCAUGUGGAAGUGCAAUUAUAGGACAAAUUGAGAAGGCUGUUGUGUUUGUGAUGGUUACUGUGCUUGGAGUCCACAAUGGUGGUGAUCGUGAUCAUACUUGAAGAUAUGGAGAAUUGGAUUUACUUUAUUGUCAAGGGAAGUUGGUAAUUAUAGAUUUUGGUCAAGAACUUUUCUAUGGUGAGCAGUGAUGGUCUUAAAGUUUAUUUGGCAAUCCGGCUAGAGCAUGAGAAUAUGUAAUUUGGUUGAGAGUAACAUUGGGUGUCCUUGGUAGUUUUCAAGGACUUGAUCACAUUGAUUUGAAGUGAUCCGCCGACUUUCUCGGAAAGAGGAUUUGAUACGAGGAUCGAGUGCGAGUUGCAAGAUUCCAGAAGCAGAAGGAUAAGGAUUUCAGAAGCGUGUUGCAAUGUUACUAAUUUUAAUUGGCGUCGAAGCUAGCGCUUGGAUUUCAGGUGUACGAGUACGACACGUAUUUCUAGAAGACUAACUGUGAAGUUAGCUUACGUGUACAAAAGUCGAGAAGUACGGAAGAUUAGAAGUGAGCUAGACCUUAAGACUUAUUUUGUUUUUGUAAUUAGUUUUGUUAUUUGUAAACGUUUUAUUUUCUUUUAUUUUUACAAUUUCUAGAAAAGUAUUUGAAAUUGUUUUAGUUUCUUUUACUUUUCCCGCUCAAGUCUCGGGUUUGGCGUCAGGUGCUUGGAAACCACCGACACCGGGUUCGAGGUGUGACAAGAACACUAGAUCGAGGCACACAACCCCCUAACAUCUACCUCUC